AGAUUGAACGCUGGCGGCAUGCCUUACACAUGCAAGUCGAACGGCAGCACGGGAGCAAUCCUGGUGGCGAGUGGCGAACGGGUGAGUAAUAUAUCGGAACGUGCCCAGUCGUGGGGGAUAACGCAGCGAAAGCUGUGCUAAUACCGCAUACGAUCUCUGGAUGAAAGCGGGGGGACUCGCAAGAGCCUCGCGCGAUUGGAGCGGCCGAUAUCAGAUUAGCUAGUUGGUGGGGUAAAAGCUCACCAAGGCGACGAUCUGUAGCUGGUCUGAGAGGAUGAUCAGUCACACUGGAACUGAGACACGGUCCAGACUCCUACGGGGGGCAGCAGUGGGGAAUAUUGGACAAUGGCGAAAGCCUGAUCCAGCCAUGCCGCGUGUGUGAAGAAGGUCUUCGGAUUGUAAAGCACUUUAGUUGGAGGAAGGCAUUAACCUAAUACGUUAGUGUUUUGACGUUACGACAGAAUAAGCACGG
rnacentral:rRNA from 1 species